CGCCCUUUCCCCUUGUAUCACGCCUGAAAAUAAGUAAUUGAUGAGUAAUGCGAUCGCAUGGAUGCGAGCCAAGCGAUGAUUUCGCCAAGGAUGGCGAAUACAUCGCGGUUACGUUCACAUCAAUUAGUUAUUUGAAGAUUUAGCGAGAUAUAGGGGCGCCGUGG
rfam:Pseudoalteromonas phenolica strain KCTC 12086 chromosome II, complete sequence.